AACUGAUACUACCUGCGGGAACCUGCGGAAGGAUCAUUAAUGAGAAACUGCCCCUCGCGGGUAGAUCUCCCACCCUUUGUAAACUUACCUUUGUUGCUUUGGCAGGCCCGUCUCCGGACCGCCGGCUUCGGCUGGCCAGUGCCUGCCAGAGGAUUCUAAAACUCUGUCUGUCAGUGUUGUCUGAGUCUAUAUACAAUCGUUAAAACUUUCAACAAUGGAUCUCUAGAUCGGAAGAGCACA
rnacentral:misc_RNA from 1 species